UGGAUAGACAAAAACUAUUUUUACGAAUUUUUAAUAGUCUUGUAAUGACAAUUCCCUGAUGCACCGUACGAGUCUACGACGGACCACCACCGUCCCCGUCGUACUCCGCCUUCCAACCGGCGUUUCAGCCUCUCGGUUUUUCGCUUUUCGGUACUUGCAAUAAGCUUUUUGUUCGUAAACGAGUUCGAUUGCUCAGAGCUCACCAAGCAUCAAGACUUUUCCUGGUAUUCUCGUUCCUUUGUUGAGUAUCGUCUUCUAGCUACUGUUGAACUACAAUGAUUGGUCGAUAAAAAAAUGCUUUUCGUGUAGCUAUUGAUCAUAACUGUCUGAAUAUUUAUCAUCGGGAGAGUUCGUGUUCACCAUUUCCUCUCUGGCUAGAGUUUCUAGUGCGAGUACUGGUGUUUUCUAAUUCCUGUUUGAAAUUCACGAGCCCUUGUAGGCAGUUUGAGGAGAAAAUGAAGGAAGCAAGUGGGUGCAAGAACACCCUUUGCUGUACGUACUUGAAAGAUUCAGCCAUGACUGCCCACAUGAUAAGAGUCAGAAUUGGAGGGUGCACUGCUUAUACUUCCGUGGUCAAUUUUAAGCAUGGCGAUUCAAUUGAAACCUGGAAUUAUGGAAUUGAAUUGCAAUGGAUUCCUCCAAACUAGAUUUAUUUUCUGGGACAUAUGCUGGUCCUGAGUUUUAAUCCUUUUUUUUUUUUUGGUGUGUUUUUCAUUUGACUGGUUGAUGAAAGCUUUUUGGUUCCUUUUGGUUGCCUACCAUGUACUUCAUUGUUUGGUUUUCGUUCCAUAUUUUGUUUUGAUGCUCAAUGCUAAUGCAUGCCCUACAAUUCUGUCCU